rnacentral:rRNA from 1 species
AACGAACGCUGGCGGCAGGCCUAACACAUGCAAGUCGAGCGAGGACUUCGGUCCUAGCGGCGCACGGGUGAGUAACGCGUGGGAACGUGCCCUUGGCUUCGGAAUAGCCCUGGGAAACUGGGAGUAAUACCGGAUGAGCCCUUAGGGGGAAAGAUUUAUCGGAGAAGAAUCGGCCCGCGUUGGAUUAGGUAGUUGGUGGGGUAAUGGCCUACCAAGCCGACGAUCCAUAGCUGGUUUGAGAGGAUGAUCAGCCACACUGGGACUGAGACACGGCCCAGACUCCUACGGGAGGCAGCAGUGGGGAAUCUUAGACAAUGGGGGAAACCCUGAUCUAGCCAUGCCGCGUGAGCGAUGAAGGCCUUAGGGUUGUAAAGCUCUUUCAGCUGGGAAGAUAAUGACGUUACCAGCAGAAGAAGCCCCGGCUAACUCCGUG